CUCCUGAACUGCAGACAGUUUCUUUACCGUCUGUCACCAAGGAAGCCCCUACGUCGUCUAAAUUUUCCAGGAAGUGUCUGGACUGAGAUAACUUGUUGCAUUCUUUUUUCUUUUUUUGGCCACACCGUGAAGAAUGCAGGAUCUUAGUUCCCUGACCAAGGAUCAAACCCACACCCCCAACAGUGGAAGCGCAGAUUCUCAACUGCUGGACUGCCAGGGAAGUCCCACUCGUUGCCUUCUUAUUACCCUUCUCAGAGAUUACAUCUACUUGUAUGUCAGUAACAUCUAAAUGCAAGGCCUCAGUUAUUUCUGGUGGGGCUGUAUCCCCAGAUGCCACCAGCCAGCUGUUCUAAGGCCAGAAGGGAAGUCAGACUGGCCACUGCCACGUAACUUGAGUCACACGGCCCACAACUCUUUUGCCCUCUCCUUUUUGCCUUCCAUGUAAGCUCUUUAGUAUAGACACAAGGUAUUUCAUUGUAGAAAGGGUGCUGAACAAAGAAUUCAUGCUUGAAGGGUUUUUCUAUUCAUAUUCGACUAGGAACAAAGAACAAGAUGAGCAUUCUUUGCCACCUUCAGACAUUUCCUCUUAGGCUGAGCCGCUUUGCUGAACUGAGGGACCCUAUCAUAUGGAAAGGCAACAGUUCAUAUGAAGCUUAGCAGCUAAUAAGUUAUCCCUCCUGCAUGCUUAGCUGUUUCAGUACUUUGAUAAUGACAACUUCAUCAAUUACGUUAAAAAAUGUGCAUUGUCCAAAACAUGUUUGUGCUUUAAUCCACUCACUCCCAUAUCCCUCCCCCACACAUUCAAUUAUAUACAUUAGAAGGAAUCAAGAAAGGUGAUUAGAUAGUUCUGGGGGGUGCUUUUCAAGGUCAUCUUAGGAGCCAAAAACGGUGAAGUAUUAUGAAUGCUCAGUUAAGAAGACCCUGGCACCAACUAUUUCAGCCUCCCACUGCAUUUGCAAAGGGUAGUUCUGCUGCUAUGGGUCAGGGAGGGGGAACACCAACCAAGAAAUAAGUCCUGCUUUAGCUUUGAUUCCUCAAGAUUCAAAUCUGUCUUUUCAUCUACAGUUGUUUUCAAGCUUCUGUUUAAAUGUUUCUCUCCCAGUGAAAUACCUAACUGUCACUAUCUUGCCUAGGGCACUGACCCCAAGGACAGUCCGACUUUCUAAAGAUUUUGCCACUGCUGGAGGAGCAGUAGGACCCUUCAACCUUAUGCUCCAAGAGGCCAGGUGGGGACCAGAAGUGGUUUCCGAGCAUGUGGUUAGAGUUCGUGGGAAGAGGAGGAGAAGGAAGGUCAAAGACACUGGAGGAUGUGGCAGCAGCCAAGCAACACGAAGGCUGUCACCGCUCCUGAAACGUCCUGUUUGGAACCACGGAGCCUGUCCCUGCCUGACAGCCCCCCACGCCAUUUCCAGACAUGCCAGAUGGCCUUGCUGACCUGCAUCCACUCAGUUGGAGCAGAAUGAGUCCCGUGUUGGCUUUGGGGUAAGUUCUGAAGAAGGAAGGU
rnacentral:lncRNA from 1 species